rnacentral:rRNA from 1 species
CCCUUAGAUGUUCUGGGCUGCACGCGCGCUACACUGAAGCUAUCAACACGUUUUCCCUCCCUGAGAAGGGCGGGUAACCUUUUGAAUCAGCUUCGUGGUAGGGAUCGGGGCUUGCAAUUGUUCCCCGUGAACCAGGAAUUCCUAGUAGACGCGAGUCAUAAGCUCGCAUCGAUUAAGUCCCUGCCCUUUGUACACACCGCCCGUCGCUACUACCGAUUGAACGUUUUAGUGAGGCAUUUGGACCGACGCAUCUCAGUUUAACCGCUGGUUUGUGUUGGAAAGAUUUCCAAACUUGAGCGUUUAGAGGAAGUAAAAGUCGUAACA